rnacentral:rRNA from 1 species
UGAGUACGAGAUGCUACGGCAUCGAAGCAGUCUAUGUCAUACUUCCAAGAAAAGCUUGCAAUGUCAUAAACAAAUAAUGCCUGUACCAUAACCGACACAGGUGGGUAGGUAGAGUAUACUAAGGGGCGCGAGAUAACUCUCUCUAAGGAACUCGGCAAAAUGACUCCGUAACUUCGGGAGAAGGAGUGCCUUAUUUUUAUAAGGUUGCAAUAACAAGAUCCAAGCAACUGUUUACCAAAAACACAGGUCUCCGCUAAGUCGUAAGACGAUGUAUGGGGGCUGACGCCUGCCCAGUGCCAGAAGGUUAAAGAAGUUGGUUAGCAUUAGCGAAGCUGAUAACUGAAGCCCUGGUGAACGGCGGCCGUAACAAUAACGGUCCUAAGGUAGCGAAAUUCCUUGUCGGGUAAGUUCCGACCCGCACGAAAGGCGUAAUGAUUUGGAUACUGUCUCGGAGAGGGGCUCGGUGAAAUAGACUUGUCUGUGAAGAUGCGGACUAUCUGCACCUGGACAGAAAGACCCUAUGAAGCUUUACUGUAACUUGAGAUUGAAAUUGGACUUUAUCUGCGCAGUAUAGGUGGGAGACGUUGAAAAUAUUCUUGCGGGAAUAUUGGAGUCAUCAGUGAGAUACCACUCUUAUAAUGUUAGAUUUCUAACUUUGUAUCAUUAUCUGGUCAAAGAACAGUUUCAGGCGGGCAGUUUGACUGGGGCGGUCGCCUCCCAAACGGUAACGGAGGCGCACAAAGGUUUCCUCUGAACGUGUAGAAAUCGUAUCUAGAGUGUAAAGGCAUAAGGAAGCUUGACUGUGAGACCUACAAGUCGAGCAGGGACGAAAGUCGGUCUUAGUGAUCUGACGGUGCUGAGUGGAAAGGCCGUCACUCAACGGAUAAAAGUUACUCUAGGAUAACAGGCUGAUCUCCCCCAAGAGUUCACAUCGACGGGGAGGUUUGGCACCUCGAUGUCGGCUCAUCGCAUCCUGGGGCGGUAGUACGUCCCAAGGGUUGGGCUGUUCGCCCAUGAAAGCGGUACGCGAGCUGGGUUCAGAACGUCGUGAGACAGUUCGGUCCAUAUCCGGUGUAGGCGUUAGAAUAUUGAGAGGAGCCUUCUUUAGUACGAGAGGACCGAGAAGGACAUACCUCUGGUGUACCAGUUAUCGUGCCAACGGUAAACGCUGGGUAGCCAUGUAUGGAGAGGAUAACCGCUGAAAGCAUCUAAGUGGGAAGCCCACCUCAAGAUAAGUAUACU